rnacentral:piRNA from 1 species
UGGUGUCACUCUGUAAGAGUCUGAGCAGU